AUAUUACCCUUGGGGUCGACAUAUCCAAUUCAUGGAUCAAGCCACCCUCCCGACGUGCCGUGUACUUCUGGACGCGACAAACUUUGACGCACCAACAGCCGCGAACGCCAUCUGCUCCCUGUUAGGCAACGACAUAUCGUCAGAAAACGACGCGGCAAAAAGCUGGCAGCAACGUCCGAAAAGAAGACCAGCCAGACCAUCGAACCCACGAUCUCCCUGAAAGAGAAGAAGAUAUUCCAGGACUUCUGACUGUGGUGAGGAGACACAACAACAAAAAAAGGAUCCAGAUACCUUCGGUCCAGACUGACCCGGCAUGCCUCUGGCACCGUCAGCUCCAGCGCGACCCUGUAAAGGCAGCAUGAGGACAGUGCCAGGGGGUCCUGGCAGACCAUCGGCACCAGGAAGACCAGCACGACCCGGUAGGCCCUGAUGGGACACUGGCGUGAGAAAUGCUACAAGCCACUAAGAUGGUGCUUACCGAGGUGUGGACGUUUGUUUCGGUGACCACGACAUCCAUCAGAGAGACCAUACCACAAACCACUUUGGGGUACGAUCCGAGGGCCCCUGGGCGAGGUCACGCGGAGGUGAGCCAAGCGGAGAAGGUGUGACCACAAACACAACGACGCGCUUCUCUGUCGAGGGGACCACCGAAGAGAAGCCCGGCGAGACACACGCCGUCAUUCACGGGCUUCCGCUGUGGAGGAAGCCGCCGCCGACCACAUCCGAACCGCAGUUUCUAAAGUGGAGUUCACCGAGGCGUUCAUCAGACCUUCCAGUGAUGACACGUUUUGCGGGCUCCGCAGGGGGAAGGCUGGAAAGAGUGAGAUAUGUGCUGAGUCGGGCGGCCUGCGGUUGUCGGGCGACGGCUCCGUUACCUCUGCGACGACGGAGGCCGCUGUGAGGGGGUGGGCACCGGAUCCGGUACUUUUUUGUCACCGACCAAAACCAGCCGGACCUACCGGGCACCGAUAACAUUUGAUGACGAUAACAGCGACAUCAUCAUCGUCAACGUCUGCUCCAGUCGGCCUCGAGGGUCAAGCAGAACCAGACCCCGUCUUCUGCCCCUUCCUCCCUGGUGAUGAGGAGGAUGAUGAUGAUGCCACAGGAGCACCCACAGGAGCCUCUCAUGGACAUUCUCGGGCCUGAAUCACACUUUCCAGCGACUUCCUGCCUCCCGUUUCUCUCUCAUCAGGUGCUGUGCAGAACGCCUUAAACGUAAACACAUGUGUCGGCGCGGUAACGUGAGUCUUUCCAUUCCAGACGCUGGAUUUUUUUACGUCUGCCAGGGAAAACACGCCGUGACGAUGAAAAGGGAGGAGGAGGAGGGGAGCCAAGAUGGAGGAUGCUGAGGCCAUGUUCACCAGCAACAGCUUCUGGAUGUUCUUGCUGGGGAUCCCGACAGGAAGUGCGCUGCAGUAGUCUAGCCUGGAGGAGACAAAUGACACUGCAAAGAAGAAAGUUGUAGGUGGGAUCGGUGUAUUAGCGGCUGGCUGCAGCAACACAACCAGGAGGACAGAGAUGGAUA